rnacentral:rRNA from 1 species
AGAGUUUGAUCCUGGCUCAGGAUUAACGCUAGCGGCAGGCAUAAUACAUGCAAGUUGAACGGGAUAAGCUGUAGCAAUAUGGCUUUGAGAGUGGCGCACGGGUGCGUAACACGUAUGCAACCUACCCUUUACAGGUGAAUAGCCUCUCGAAAGAGAGAUUAAUACACCAUAAUAUAUAGAAUGGGCAUCUAUUUUAUAUUAAAGCUCCGGUGGUAAAGGAUGGGCAUGCGGCUGAUUAGGUAGUUGGUGAGGUAAUGGCUCACCAAGCCAACGAUCAGUAGGGGGUCUGAGAGGAUGUCCCCCCACACUGGUACUGAGACACGGACCAGACUCCUACGGGAGGCAGCAGUAGGGAAUAUUGGACAAUGGGGGCAACCCUGAUCCAGCCAUGCCGCGUGCAGGAAGAAGGCCCUAUGGGUCGUAAACUGCUUUUGUACGGGAAGAAACCUUACCAUGCGUGGUAAGUUGACGGUACCGUGAGAUAAGGAUCGGCUAACUUCGUGCCAGCAGCCGCGGUAAUACGAAAGAUCCAAGCGUUGUCCCGAUUACUG